UUGUUCGCCAAACAACUACGAGUAACACUUAAAACUUAAAAGACUUGACGGUACUUCACCCCGACCUAGAGGAGCCUGUCUAAUAACCGACAACCCACGAUUAACCCAACCACUUCUUGCCCAACAGUCUAUAUACCGCCGUCGCCAGCUUACCUUGUAAAAGAAAUAAAGUGAGCUAAACAGUAACACACUAAAACGACAGGUCGAGGUGUAACUUAUGAAGGGGGCCAAGAUGGGCUACAUUCUCCAACAGAGAAUACGGACAACACUAUGAAAUUAAUGUUUGAAGGCGGAUUUAGCAGUAAGAUAAGAACAAAACACUUAACUGAACACAACGCAAUGAAGUGCGCACACACCGCCCGUCAUCCCUGCCACCAC
rnacentral:rRNA from 1 species